rnacentral:SRP_RNA from 1 species
CCGCGCUAGGCGGGGAGUCAGCGGUGCCCUGUACCUGCAAUCCGCUACAGCAGGGCUGAAUUCCCAGGCCGAGGCAAACGUCUGUGGGGCUGGCGUCGUCAUGCAGUGUUGAGGGCCGGGUCCCGUGCAAUCGGCGUCUGUGAACCAUGUCAGAUCCUGACGGAAGCAGCAUUAAGCGGAAUCGUCGAUGUGCCGCGGGUUUUCCUGGCCGGAGCUGUACGCCGGUGUGCCGCCCAUGGAUGUUUUGUCCAAGCGUGGGUGCGCG